AUCCCAUGGUGAGGACAGGCAGCUACGUACUCCUGCAGUAGUUCCCAUGCUUCCGGAAUAUACUCGUCCCUUGUCUGCUGGAAACUGAAAUCCUUCCACGAAGGGC
rnacentral:snoRNA from 1 species